CAACGGCAGCCGUAGACAUGCAGUCGAGCGGUAACAGGUCCUUCGGGAUGCUGACGAGCGGCGGACGGGUGAGUAAUGCAUAGGAAUCUGCCCGGUAGUGGGGGAUAACCUGGGGAAACCCAGGCUAAUACCGCAUACGUCCUACGGGAGAAAGGGGGCUCCGGCUCCCGCUAUUGGAUGAGCCUAUGUCGGAUUAGCUGGUUGGUGAGGUAACGGCUCACCAAGGCGACGAUCCGUAGCUGGUCUGAGAGGAUGAUCAGCCACAUCGGGACUGAGACACGGCCCGAACUCCUACGGGAGGCAGCAGUGGGGAAUAUUGGACAAUGGGGGCAACCCUGAUCCAGCCAUGCCGCGUGUGUGAAGAAGGCCCUCGGGUUGUAAAGCACUUUCAGCGAGGAAGAACGCCUGGCGGUUAAUACCCGCCAGGAAAGACAUCACUCGCAGAAGAAGCACCGGCUAACUCCGUGCCAGCAGCCGCGGUAAUACGGAGGGUGCAAGCGUUAAUCGGAAUUACUGGGCGUAAAGCGCGCGUAGGUGGCUUGAUAAGCCGGUUGUGAAAGCCCCGGGCUCAACCUGGGAACGGCAUCCGGAACUGUCAGG
rnacentral:rRNA from 1 species